rnacentral:rRNA from 1 species
GACGAAGGAUGCAAGCGUUAUCCGGAUUCAUUGGGUUUAAAGGGAGCGUAGGUAGACUUAUAAGUCAGUGGUGAAAUCUCCGAGCUCAACUCGGAAACUGCCAUUGAUACUGUAGGUCUAGAGUACAGUUGCCGUUGGCGGAAUAUGACAUGUAGUGGUGAAAUACUUAGAUAUGUCAUAGAACACCGAUUGCGAAGGCAGCUAACGAAGCUGUAACUGACACUGAGGCUCGAAAGUGCGGGGAUCAAACAGG